GACGAACGCUGGCGGCGCGCUUAACACAUGCAAGUCGAACGGAAAGGCCUGCUUUCCCUUGUGGAUUGCGGGUACUCGAGUGGCGAACGGGUGAGUAACACGUGAGUGAUCUGCCCCCAACUUGGGUAUAAGCCUGGGAAACUGGGUCUAAUUCCCGAUAGGACUGCAGGGUGGUGCCUGUGGUGGAAAACGAUUUUCUAGUGGUUGGGGAUGAGCUCGCGGCCUAUCAGCUUGUUGGUGGGGUAAUGGCCUACCAAGGCGGCGACGGGUAGCCGGCGUGAGAGGGUGGACGGCCACAUUGGGACUGAGCUACGGCCCAGACUCCGACGGGAGGCAGCAGUGGGGAAUAGUGGACAAUGGGCGGAAGCCUGAUGCAGCGACGCCGCGUGGGGGAUGACGGCCUUCGGGUGGUAAACUCCUUUCGACCGCGAGGAAGCCACCUGGUUGGAAGGGUGGUGACGGUAGUGGUAGAAGAAGCACCGGCUAACUACGUG
rnacentral:rRNA from 1 species